rnacentral:rRNA from 1 species
AGUGAACGCUGGCGGUAGGCCUAACACAUGCAAGUCGAACGGCAGCACAGUAAGAGCUUGCUCUUACGGGUGGCGAGUGGCGGACGGGUGAGGAAUACAUCGGAAUCUACUUUUUCGUGGGGGAUAACGUAGGGAAACUUACGCUAAUACCGCAUACGACCUACGGGUGAAAGCAGGGGAUCUUCGGACCUUGCGCGAUUGAAUGAGCCGAUGUCGGAUUAGCUAGUUGGCGGGGUAAAGGCCCACCAAGGCGACGAUCCGUAGCUGGGUUGAGAGGAUGACAGGCUCCCCGGGCACAGUGCCACGUCCAGCCCGCCCAGGGGCGGAAGCGGUGGGGAUUUUGGGAAAAUGGGCCAAGGCUUGCCCCACCCAUGCCGCGUGGUUGAGGGAGCCUUGGUGGUUGUAAGGCUGUUUUUUGGGUAAGAAAAAGGUCAAGUUGCACCCCCCGUUGUUGUGACGGUACCCAAAAAAUAAGCCCCGGCUAACUACGUG